GUCGAGCGAACUGAUUAGAAGCUUGCUUCUAUGACGUUAGCGGCGGACGGGUGAGUAACACGUGGGCAACCUGCCUGUAAGACUGGGAUAACUUCGGGAAACCGAAGCUAAUACCGGAUAGGAUCUUCUCCUUCAUGGGAGAUGAUUGAAAGAUGGUUUCGGCUAUCACUUACAGAUGGGCCCGCGGUGCAUUAGCUAGUUGGUGAGGUAACGGCUCACCAAGGCAACGAUGCAUAGCCGACCUGAGAGGGUGAUCGGCCACACUGGGACUGAGACACGGCCCAGACUCCUACGGGAGGCAGCAGUAGGGAAUCUUCCGCAAUGGACGAAAGUCUGACGGAGCAACGCCGCGUGAGUGAUGAAGGCUUUCGGGUCGUAAAACUCUGUUGUUAGGGAAGAACAAGUACAAGAGUAACUGCUUGUACCUUGACGGUACCUAACCAGAAAGCCACGGCUAACUACGUGCCAGCAGCCGCGGUAAUACGUAGGUGGCAAGCGUUAUCCGGAAUUAUUGGGCGUAAAGCGCGCGCAGGCGGUUUCUUAAGUCUGAUGUGAAAGCCCACGGCUCAAC
rnacentral:rRNA from 1 species